rnacentral:rRNA from 1 species
AUUAGUGGCGAACGGGUGAGUAACACGUGAGUAACCUGCCCUUGACUCUGGGAUAACCUCCGGAAACGGAAGCUAAUACCGGAUACGAACUGCGAAGGCAUCUUCAGCAGUUGGAAAGAACUUCGGUCAAGGAUGGACUCGCGGCCUAUCAGGUAGUUGGUGAGGUAACGGCUCACCAAGCCUACGACGGGUAGCCGGCCUGAGAGGGUGACCGGCCACACUGGGACUGAGACACGGCCCAGACUCCUACGGGAGGCAGCAGUGGGGAAUAUUGCACAAUGGGCGCAAGCCUGAUGCAGCAACGCCGCGUGAGGGAUGACGGCCUUCGGGUUGUAAACCUCUUUUAGUAGGGAAGAAGCGAAAGUGACGGUACCUGCAGAAAAAGCACCGGCUAACUACGUGCCAGCAGCCGCGGUAAUACGUAGGGUGCGAGCGUUGUCCGGAAUUAUUGGGCGUAAAGAGCUCGUAGGCGGUCUGUCGCGUCUGCUGUGAAAACCCGAGGCUCAACCUCGGGCCUGCAGUGGGUACGGGCAGACUAGAGUGCGGUAGGGGAGAAUGGAAUUCCUGGUGUAGCGGUGGAAUGCGCAGAUAUCAGGAGGAACACCGAUGGCGAAGGCAGUUCUCUGGGCCGUAACUGACGC